ACUAAUUUCUUGAAACAAUUAAUUCUAUCGUUUUAACUUUAUCAAUAUCACUUACGUCAAUUUUUUAUAAACGUCCAAGAUAUUAAUGCCUUUGUUUUAUCUAAUGACUAUGAAUAUUUUGAAAUUUUAAUGUCAAUAUUUUUUUUUUUUUUUCGUAUUCAGUAUCAAAAGUAUACGAUCAAUUAUCUUAUCAUUCUACCGAAUAACAUAUGACUUACGUUGAAAAGAUCGAGAAAGUUAAACCAUGGUUCCAUAGUUCAUCUUUAUACAAUUUUUUUUUUAUUUUUAAUAUUAAAAUAAGAUAGAUAGUACUUAUUUUUAAAAAUAAGUUUUAUUAUUUAUAAACAUCGUGUGAGAUAAUAUUAACAGCGAUAUUCGCACAAUUGAAAACACGUACGUUUCGCAAAUUUCGCAUAAGUUCUUUACUAUGCAAUUGAAUUUUUGAAAGUAGACCGUACAUUGUAGGAUACCAUGAGCGACAUCUGUUACACGUGUAUUCCCACUGUAUGCUUUGUCUGGAACAGGUAGGAACGGGCUUUCACUGGAUUCUUCGUGUCUUAUUCAUGGCGAGGUGGGCGCGCGCGCUGUCUGCACUGGCAUGGGGAAAAAAAGGAUGACAAGAAAAUCGGAAAUUCCGAGGAUGCGUCGGCGACGGGUAGCAAUGACCUUGGGUCGUGUAUUGACUCGAAUGUUCCAUCUCUUUGUUCCUAACAAUUCGUCGGGAAACUUCUUUCUUGCGGUCUUUCUGCGGAUUCAUAGUCCGCGGCCAUCGAACCGCGCGCCACCAUUCUAUACAGAUGUUCUGUAUGGUCGUUGUAUUCAAGGAUGCUCGAAUAA